AAAUGGCCAAAAACGGGUGGGCUAUAGCCUUGGUGGGGGGCGUGGGCGAAGUUCGUCCGCGGGACUCGGAAUGGCACCAGACUUGGUGGGCGGCUCCGUGUGCAAAAAAUAGACCACGGGCACAGCCGCGCCCAAAAAUCAGCCCCCGAAGGUCGGGGUCCCAAGACCCCCCAGCGGAAAAAUGGCCAAAAAAUGGGUGGGCUAUAGCCUAUGUGGGGGGCGUGGGCGAAGUUCGUCCGCGGGACUCGGAAUGGCCCCAGACUUGGCGGACGGCCUCCGUGUGCCAAAAAUAGGCCACGGGCACAGCCGCGCCCAAAAAUCAGCCCCCGAAGGUCGGGGUGCCAAGACCCCCCAGCGGAAAAAUGGCCAAAAAACGGGUGGGCUAUAGCCUUGGUGGGGGGUGUGGGCGAAGUUCGUCCGCCGGACUCGGAAUGGCCCCAGACUUGGCGGGCGGCCUCCGUGUGCCAAAAAUAGGCCACGGGCACAGCCGCACCCAAAAAUCAGCCCCCGAAGGUCGGGGUCCCAAGACCCCCCAGCCGAAAAAUGGCCAAAAAACGGGUGGGCUAUAGCCUUGGCGGGGGGCGUGGGCGAAGUUCGUCCGCGGGACUCGGAAUGGCCCCAGACUUGGCGGGCGGCCUCCGUGUGCCAAAAAUAGGCCACGGGCACAGCCGCGCCCAAAAAUCAGCCCCCGAAGGUCGGCGUCCCAAGACCCCCCAGCGGAUAAAUGGCAAAAAAAUGGGUGGCCUAUAGCCUUGGUGGGGGGCGUGGGCGAAGUUCGUCCGCGGGACUCGGAAUGGCCCCAGACUUGGCGGGCGGGCUCCGUGUGCCAAAAAUAGGCCACGGGCACAGCCGUGCCCAAAAAUAAGCCCCCCAAGGUCGGGGGUCCAAGAACCCCCAGCGGAAAAAUGGCCAAAAAACGGGUGGGCUAUAGCCUAUGUGGGGGGCGUGGGCGAAGUUCGUCCGCGGGACUCGGAAUGGCCCCAGACUUGGUGGGCGGCCUCCGUGUGCCAAAAAUAGGCCACAGGGACCGCCGCGCCCAAAAAUCAGCCCCCGAAGGUCGGGGUCCCAAGACCCCCCAGCGGAAAAAUGGCCAAAAAAUGGGUGGGCUAUAGCCUAUGUGGGGGUCGUGGGCGAAGUUCGUCCGCGGGGCUCGGAAUGGCCCCAGACAUGGUGGGAGGCCUCCGUGUGCCAAAAAUAGGCCACGGGCACAGCCGCGCCCAAAAAUAAGCCCCCAAAGGUCGGGGUCCCAAGACCCCCCAGCCGAAAAAUGGCCAAAAAACGGGUGGGCUAUAGCCUAUGUGGGGGGCGUGGGCGAAGUUCGUCCGCGGGACUCGGAAUGGCCCCAGAAUUGGCGGGCGGCCUCCGUGUGCCAAAAAUAGGCCACGGGCACAGCCGCGACCAAAAAUAAGCCCUCAAAGGUCGGGGUCCCAAGACCCCCCAGCGGAAAAAUGGCCAAAAAACGGGUGGGCUAUAGCCUAUGUGGGGGGCGUGGGCGAAGUUCGUCCGCGGGACUCGGAAUGGCCCCAGACUUGGUGGGCGGCCUCCGUGUGCCAAAA
rnacentral:lncRNA from 1 species